rnacentral:rRNA from 1 species
GGCUCAGAACGAACGCUGGCGGCGUGCCUAACACAUGCAAGUCGUGCGAGAAAGUUCCUUCGGGGACGAGUACAGCGGCGCACGGGUGAGUAACACGUAGGUAAUCUGCCCUCGAGCCUGGAAUAACCUACCGAAAGGUGGGCUAAUACCGGAUAUGACCACGGGAGUUUCGGCUUCUGCGGUGAAAGGUGGCCUCUACUUGUAAGCUACCACUCAAGGAUGAGCCUGCGUACCAUUAGCUAGUUGGUGAGGUAACGGCUCACCAAGGCUGUGAUGGUUAGCUGGUCUGAGAGGAUGGCCAGCCACACUGGGACUGAAACACGGCCCAGACUCCUACGGGAGGCAGCAGUGGGGGAUAUUGCGCAAUGGGCGAAAGCCUGACGCAGCGACGCCGCGUGGGUGAUGAAGGCCUUCGGGUCGUAAAGCCCUGUCGAGGGGGAAGAAUCGGUUGCGACCUAACACGUCGUGAUCCUGACGGUACCCCUAAAGGAAGCACCGGCUAACUCCGUGCCAGCAGCCGCGGUAAUACGGAGGGUGCGAGCGUUGUUCGGAAUCACUGGGCGUAAAGCGCGUGUAGGCGGCCCAUUAAGUCUGAUGUGAAAGCCCGGGGCUCACCCCCGGAAGUGCAUUGGAAACUGAUGGACUCGAGUCCCGGAGAGGAGAGUGGAAUUCCUGGUGUAGCGGUGAAAUGCGUAGAUAUCAGGAGGAACACCGGUGGCGAAGGCGGCUCUCUGGACGGUGACUGACGCUGAGACGCGAAAGCGUGGGGAGCAAACAGGAUUAGAUACCCUGGUAGUCCACGCCGUAAACGAUGAGCACUAGGUGUCGCGGGUAUUGACCCCUGCGGUGCCGACGCUAACGCAUUAAGUGCUCCGCCUGG